rnacentral:rRNA from 1 species
AGUGAACGCUGGCGGUAGGCCUAACACAUGCAAGUCGAACGGCAGCACAGUAAGAGCUUGCUCUUAUGGGUGGCGAGUGGCGGACGGGUGAGGAAUACAUCGGAAUCUACUUUUUCGUGGGGGCUAACGUAGGGAAACUUACGCUAAUACCGCAUACGACCUACGGGUGAAAGCAGGGGAGCUUCGGACCUUGCGCGAUUGAAUGCGCCGAUGUCGGAUUAGCUAGUUGGCGGGGUAAAGGACCACCAAGGCGACGAUCCGUAGCUGGUCUGAGAGGAUGAUCAGCCACACUGGAACUGAGACACGGUCCAGACUCCUACGGGAGGCAGCAGUGGGGAAUAUUGGACAAUGGGCGGAAGCCUGAUCCAGCCAUACCGCGUGGGUGAAGAAGGCCUUCGGGUUGUAAAGCCCUUUUGUUGGGAAAGAAAAGCAGCAGGUUAAUACCCCGCUGUUCUGACGGUACCCAAAGAAUAAGCACCGGCUAACUUCGUG